GCUAUCUGAAAAAAAAAAAAAAUCUAUAUAUAAUAUAAAGUAUGAAAAAUUUUGGAAGACAUAUUUACCCUAUGUAUGGAGACUUUUGGGAUACCCUGUAGUUUUAACCAUAUUGCUAUCUCUCCUGUUCAUAAGCUGAAGACACCAAGCAGGCCAAGAAUCAGCCGAGCAGCCAGUAAUCGAUUACUUACGGACACCCUGAAGUGAAGCAAUAGAAUAUGGCGUAACAUGAGUGAUGUCUCUGCAGAUUCUGCUCGGAGGAAGUGGUUGGAGUUGGGUGUAGAAUUCUACAUUAUGCUUAUGUCAGUUCCUGCUCAACUCUUCCCACAGAAACUGAAGUGAUUUCCUAUCAGCUCACACUUUGGGCCUUUUUAAGUAACUCUAAACAAAUAGUAGUAAGAGUAGUUUUAAUGGGGCUACUCAACAUGUUUAAGGACACAAUUCUCUGUGGUUAAAUCACAAAUGGUGCCA
ensembl:lncRNA